CUGCCCUCUCCCUCUCUCUGUGUUCUCUCUCUCAAUCGGUGCCAACUCUAUGUAGCUCACCGAAGUCCCUCACCACCAUUGCUCACGUCCGUCGCACAUCGCCACCGCCGGAAAUCGCCAUUACCCUUUGUGUAAUGGACUCCUCAUUUCUAGAAGAUCCUCACCCAAUCUCACCUCAUCUCAGACCAACGUCGCACGCCACAGCUAGCGCCACCGCCGCCGCAGCAUCCUCUCGGUCUGUCUGUCUGUCUCUCUCUGUUUCUCCCUCUCUAGCCUUUGCCUUCGUGAUGUGGAUGAUGGCUAAUUGAAAUGGGAUAAUUUGAUCAUCCCUUUCUAGCCUUUACAAGCAGAUGCCAAUCAUCACCCGUUCUUAUCUCACUGCUGCAAUUGUUAUCACAGUCGGUUGCUCUCUCGAUAUAAUCUCUCCUUAUAACUUGUAUUUGCACCCUAAGCUAGUGGUCAAGCAUUACCAGUUUUGGCGGCUCGUCACCAAUUUCCUUUACUUCCGGAAAAUGGGUAAUUUGUUUAACCAUGAACUUCCAAGUAAAUCCAUUGAGAACGAUAUGUCUUUAUUGUUGGAGUUGCACUUUUUGGAACCUUCUGGCUUCCGUAUGCUUUGAUUGAUCUUUUAUGUGUGUAGUAGGGCUUUGUAGAGAAUUUGGGUUGAUUAAUUAUUUGUCUUAUGAAAUUCAUAAAUGAUAAAAUUUGAAACAACGUCGUCAGAAUUUGGUUAAUUGGUGCUGUAUGUUCUGUCGGGACGCAGUGUCUAUUUCUUAUCUUUUACUUAACUGUUAUGUGGCAAAUCAACUUUGGGGCUUCAUUUUCUCGGUGUUUGGUUUGGAUUGGGUGCAAUAGUGUGGUGGAUGUGUUCCGCAGUUGGCGGGGUGGCUGGUUUGGUUGGAGUGUAAUCAGCGGAUUUUUCAGGGGAUAGAGGUCUUUAUGCCUCGUUUGAAGAAUAUUAGGUAUAUCUAUGAAUUGGAUUAUCAAUUUUUUGGUUUGGAUUCAAAUCUGUUAUGUGCAAGCUUUGACCAAAUUUGACAUGUUUUAAACUCACAAUUUCCCAAUUUUUCUGUAUACAACAUAUUGAAAACUAUUCUUUCAUUUAUUCUAACAAUUAUACUCUAAUGCUACACAAGAAAUACUACAUCUUAAUUUCAAGAUGGGUUGGAUAUGUAGAGUAUCUAGAAAGUAUUCUUCAAUACUUACUCAAUACUAAACUUAAUAAAAUAAAAUAAAAAGUACUAAAAGUUUAGAGAAAAUUAAUUUAUAAUUGUGGAUAUGUUUAGGAUGUAUCAGAUAUGUAUAUGCGAGUAUCCGAUGAAUAUCAAUGUUCGAUAUGGUUACUACACGGAUACAACCCCUUUGUCAAAGUAUCCGUGCUUCAUAAGUUGGAAGUGUCAAAUGAGUGUUAGUGUUUGACAUUGACAUAGUACCUUUGAAGUGUCCGUGUUUCUUAGAUAAGAAAAAGUGAAGUGAUUUGUGGCAGUUUAUGUUUCCUUAUAAAGUUUAAAACCUUGCUUUGGCAUAUAUUGACAUAUUUGUUUUGUUUUAUGUGCAAUUUUUGCUGGCAUGGCAGUCAUUGUUCCACGGAGAGGAUUUGAAGGAAAGCGGGAUUCAAGAGGUAGAUAUGGAUAUAGAAGAUGGAGAUGCUGCAGGUACCUUAUCUGGAUCAGAAGAAAGGAGUCAGAUCACAGUGCCUCUAAGAGAUUUUUCACCUGAUGGAACAUUUUGCAAAACGAAAUAAGAUGGUUCUUACUCUUAAAUAUACAGAGUGCUGCGAAGGGAAAUAACAAGAUUUGGACCUGAUCAAUUUUUCUGACAAAUCCUACAUACAUGAUCCGGGCUAUUCCAAGCAAUGCAGCUGACAAUGUGUAUUGUACACUCAUUGCUCAGAGUGCUGUUCAUGGAGCUAUGGCCGGGUACACAGGCUACACAAGUGGGCUUGUUAAUGGCAGACAAACUUAUAUUCCUUUCUAUUUGGUAUUAUAUAUUAUCUAUGAAGUGGAGCAUUCUGUAAGGAGGAUCUUCAUGCAACUAAAUAAAAGAAUCAUAACCGUUGACUGGUUUUAAAUGUCCUGAAGGGUAUAAGUGAUGAAGACUGCAAGUUGUUGGGCUUGAAUCCUAAGUAUGCCCGUUCAGAUUGGAUGAAAUUGCAAUAGGAUGUCAUUGUGGUAUGAGCGUACUACAGAAAGAGUUGAAGAACUGUUCCAAUAGUCUCAUACCUUGUUAUUUUCUUUGAUUUCUUUGUUCUUAUAAUUUUUGGUGAGAGCAAAGUAUAGUUUGAGAUUGAAUUUUUAGUGAUUGUUUUUGCCAAAUCCCAUAUUGUACGUACUAUUGCUCUUGUAUACAAGUUAAAUUCUCAAGU